UGCCAGUGAUAAACUGGAGGAAGGUGGGGAUGACGUCAAGUCAUCAUGGCCCUUACGACCAGGGCUACACACGUGCUACAAUGGCAUAUACAAAGAGAAGCGACCUCGCGAGAGCAAGCGGACCUCAUAAAGUAUGUCGUAGUCCGGAUUGGAGUCUGCAACUCGACUCCAUGAAGUCGGAAUCGCUAGUAAUCGUAGAUCAGAAUGCUACGGUGAAUACGUUCCCGGGCCUUGUACACACCGCCCGUCACACCAUGGGAGUGGGUUGCAA
rnacentral:rRNA from 1 species